UCGUAGCCGAUGUUCCACAG
rnacentral:miRNA from 1 species